GACCUCCAUGGGAAUGGAAUUUGGAAGCGGGACAAUGGGUCUCUCUACCCCCAACCACCACCGCCAUUGCUAUUCGGAUGAGGAAAUAUAGGCUUCCAUUUCUUCCAAAUUCUACUUACUGGUUCGUCUUCAAUAUCAGUUUACGAUGUUUCUUUUUUUAUUAAAACGUUACCAAAUCCCCAAGUUUCAAAAACACGAUUAUUUAAUUUACUUGUAACUGUCAAUUCUCUUUUUAAAUUUCAAAUAACGAACGUUUCAUAAUUCCUUACCCUGGGGAGUGGAAGGAACAGUUACUGUCUUCAAUUUCGAAUUUCCAAUUCAUUAGUUUCUCCGCACACUCUUCCCAUUAAAAGUUUUAUUUUAUUUUGAUUUACUGUUUCGGAAAUUUUGACGUUGUUUAUCUGGUAAAUGAACAUCGAUCAGGUACCUUUACUCCUAUGCAAUUGUGUUGAUUUUGCUGACAAAAAUGUCAAAUAGCUGCAGAAGUGAUAUUCGUACUCCCUUAAAUGCGGAGGAACUUAGUGCCAGAUGUAGAAGAGAGGUAGCCCUUUUUUGAAACCUAACUAUUCCUUUUCCUCCUUGAGCCUGCUCGAUUUUGCUAUAAUUUCCAACCACCUUAUCUACCAAUCGGGUGGUAGUAAUUUUUGGCCAUUUUGUUUUUUGAUAAUAAAAUUCCUACUUUGAUGGAGGAGGGGGGGGGGGGGGGGGAGAUUGGCCUCUCUGAUUGAAUUCCUAAUUUUAUGAAUGUGUAGCUUAUGUAUAUAUGAGGUGUAACUACCUGUUUCUUGUAUUUUGGAUUUGCUUUAUCAUUUUUACUUUCUUAUUCCUGCCCACUAGAACGAAGUAUUAUUUCUGUGUCAAUGCAAAAAGAGAAUGGCGUUUUAGAAAGUUUUCAAUCUCAAAGCAUUCAACCAAUCCGGGUAUGUUAUGUGUUAGAUCGUUGUGGUUAAUUUAAAAGCACCGAUGCGAGGUUGUUAACUGUAAUGCUUGUAGAGAGCUCUUCUUGUGCUUAAUGUCCUGUGUGAAAUGUUACAUAAACUCUUCCUUCCGAACUUCAAAUUCUAAAUAAAGUUAUGUUCUAAUAUUCCAUCAGCCAGAUAAACACUGGUCAAAGAGAGAGCAAAGAACAACACAUGGUAAAGGAACAGUAGAAAGUGAAGUUCAACCUUUUUGCAUAGACUCCCCUGGUCUUAGUUUGUAAAAUGAGGAUAGAUAGUCAAGUUAAUUGACUAAAAUGUUUUGAAUAUGGGAUUUUAUUUAGCAUACGCCUGAUACAAAUCUGAUUUAUGAAAUUGAUGCAGAUACUUGAACAAUGUGAGAAGUCACUAUCAGAAGCUUAUACAGAAGAUAAGAGAUGCAUCCAGAGGUUGGAAAAAGAGCUGGUGAAUUGUUCUCAAGAAAUAGAUUAUCUUCAAGAUCAACUCAGUGCUAGAAAUGCGGAGGUGAACUAUCUGGAAGAGCAUGUUCGCAACCUUGAACUGAAAUUGGAGGGAAUGGAAGAUUUACAACAAGAGGUUUUCAGCUUAAGAGAGGAGCUGAAAGGAUCAAAUUCAAAGCAAUUUUUGUUGAUUCAGGAACUUGAGACUAAAGAAGUAGAAUUAGAGAAGUCAGCUUUGGCCAUAGAGAAACUAGAGGAAUCAUUUUCAUCCAUAGGAUUAGAGUCUCAGUUUGAGGUAGAGAGUAUAAAGCUUGAUAUGAUGGCCUUGGAACAAAAUCUUUUCGAGGCCAAGAAAAUUCAGGAUGAAACUCUAGAUGAAAAUAAUAGAAUGAGUAGGCUAGUUGAGGAGCUCCAGGUUGCAUUGCAGGAUGCACAAAAAACCAUCAUCUUUCUAAAUGAAGAGAAUAGGGAACUUAAAGAGAAGCUUGAUACUGUCAACAUAAAGUCCAGAAUUUUUUCUCAAAAGGAUGAAAACUGGCUGGAAAACAAGGACAGACCACAACUCAAGAAGCAGCCUUCCUUGAAUGAACAAGGCAGCAAUUCUAUCAUACCAGAGGACAUAAGGACUUAUGGAGAUGUACAGGUUCCACUCCUUCGAAGAUCAACAGUGAUCUUAGAUCCAGCUACAGAUUUGGAAGGGAAGAUGGAGAUGUCACAUCAGAUUCAAGAAUAUGAAUGUCUUGUCAAGAAACUGAAGGAAGAAUUAAGAGAGGAAAAGAUGAAGGCCAAAGAAGAAGCAGAGGACUUAGUUCAGGAAAUGGCAGAACUGAGAUACCAAUUUACUGGUUUGCUAGAGGAAGAACGUAAGUGCCGUGCUAAGAUUGAGCAUGCUUCCUUGCAAAGAAUUGCGGAGUUAGAGGCUCAGCUUCAAAGAGAACAUAAAAACCCUUAAUGGCUGCCAGGCAUCUCCUUGAAACAGAGAGAUUGGAAUUGUUUUAAAUCUUUCAAGUUCAGGCGUUCAGUGGUAGAGAAUGACCUCAAAAGGGUUUUUAUAGUUCUGGUAAGCAUGCCGGCAAGAAAUUUGUUAUACUCUAAGCAGCAACAUAGCCUUCUUUCCCUUCUGAAGGAAGAUUCAUCUAGAACGUCUCUUUAGGCCUCGGUUUCAAAGAUUCUAUCGAAGCUGAAAGAACCAAAGUGGGUUGUAUAGAAGAACAGGGAACGACUUAAUAGGAUGUGUUAGUGGCUGUAUGUAUGGAGAGGGGGAGGAGAGGCAAUUGUGCAUGAUUGACCUAUAUAUGUAGUUGGCAUAAUUUUACCGGUUUGAAUACAUGUUUUGUUUUAAUGAAUAACUUUUG